GGAAUUUUGGGCAAUGGCCGAAAGGCUGACCCAGCGACGCCGCGUGCGGGAGGACGCCCUUCGGGGUGUAAACCGCUGUCAGAGGGGACGAAUGACUCAUGCGGGAAUACUGCAUGGGAGUGACGGUACCCUCAGAGGAAGCACCGGCUAACUCUGUGCCAGCAGCCGCGGUAAUACAGAGGGUGCGAGCGUUGUUCGGAAUCACUGGGCGUAAAGCGCGCGCAGGCGGGACCUGCAAGUCGGGAGUGAAAGGCCGGGGCUCAACCCCGGAGCUGCUUUCGAGACUGCGGACCUGGAGACCAGUAGGGGUUGGUGGAAUUCCCGGUGUAGCGGUGGAAUGCGUAGAUAUCGGGAAGAACACCCGUGGCGAAGGCGACUACCUGGACCAGCACUGACACUGAGGCACGAAAGCGUGGGGAGCAAA
rnacentral:rRNA from 1 species